rnacentral:lncRNA from 1 species
UAGGAGCAACUACAUUAAAUGAGUACAGAAAAUACAUUGAGAAGGAUCCUGCACUUGAGCGUAGAUUUCAACAAGUAUUUUGUGGCCAGCCGUCUGUUGAAGACACAAUAUCCAUUCUUCGUGGCUUGCGUGAGCGCUAUGAGCUGCAUCAUGGUGUGAAAAUAUCAGAUAGUGCCCUUGUUUCUGCAGCUGUUCUUUCUGACAGAUACAUUACAGAACGUUUUUUGCCUGACAAAGGUAAUAAUAAUUUCCACCUUAUAGGGCUCUUUUUUUAGGGUGGCAGGAGGGGAUGAGGAGGGGUGGUGGGAUUUGUUUUCUCAAAAUAUAAUUUGUGUUAAUUUGUGUUUGAUAGAUCUUGCAAGUACAGGAAUAAGAUGCACUCAUUUUUUUGGAAACUUCCAUUGGGUGGAUUUCAACCAAUACAAAUAGAGGGCUUGGAGCCAACGUAAUAAAGAAAAGAAGGGAUGGAAGAACUAGAAUUUUCUUUAUGGUUCCCUCUUGUGAAUUUGUCUUCAUGUUUAGUUUUGGACUAGGAUAUCUGAUUCUAUAAAAAUGAAAAAAAUGAAAAGCUUAGUCACACCCACACCCUUGAAGACUCUUACCAUUAAAUUCUUGUGUUUUCUUUUUCGUCAACUAUGAGUUUUGUAACUUACCUUCUCUGUUUCAGCCAUUGAUCUCGUUGAUGAAGCUGCUGCAAAGCUGAAGAUGGAGAUCACUUCUAAGCCCACUGAAUUGGAUGAGGUAGACAGAGCUGUGUUGAAGUUGGAGAUGGAGAAGCUGUCUGUCCAAAAUGACACUGAUAAAUCAUCGAAAGAAAGGUUAAGCAAACUGGAAAAUGAUCUGGCAUUGCUUAAGCAGAAACAAAAAGAAUUAACCGAACAAUGGGAUCAUGAGAAGGCUCUCAUGACUCGGAUACGAUCAGUUAAAGAAGAGGUAUUCCUCCAUUAUUGUUGUUGGCAAGUUUCCUCAUCCCUUCUUUUGCUGAUUCAUAUGUUUCUAAUUUUCGUAGAUUGAUAGAGUAAACCAAGAGAUGGAAGCUGCUGAACGUGACUAUGACCUAAAUCGUGCUGCAGAGCUCAAAUAUGGAACUCUAACAUCCCUACAACGCCAGUUAGAACAGGCAGAGAAAAACCUUGCUGAGUAUCAGAAGUCGGGAAAUGCUUUGCUUCGAGAAGAA